rnacentral:lncRNA from 1 species
UUAAACAUUUAAACGAUAAAAAUAAUCAAAAAAAUAAUUACAAAAUAUGAAAUAGGGGGCUCGGAUUCAUCUUUUGUCAAUCACAAGAACAAACCAUAGGUCUUCCCUCUUUAUGCCCAAAUCCCAUCCUAAGAGAUAGACAUGGCUGCAGUGGUUGCCAUGAAGGCCAUCCAAACUGUCUCGCCAUCAUCCUAUUAAGAUUGGAAAACCAAGCAUUGAAAGAGAUCGUAAAGCCUUUAUGAUUCAUACUUAUGCAUAAGAAUAUGUUAUUUGCCAACACCAUGGAGAAACAAUCUUAUGUUGUAAAGCCCAAAUGGUGAUUGGUCAAAUGCAUAAUUGACUUUUAUUUAUCAUCAUAGCCUCUUCAUAAUUCAAAAGCAAUAUACUGAGAAGCAAAGAUGAAAUCAAUACAGUGAAAUUUAUAAAAAGAAAAUGUAAAUAAUGAAAGCUAUGAAAGGAUAAAAAGAAAAAGGUUGGAAGAAAAGAAACAAUCCUCUUGAAUGUAUUAUUUCCCCACACCAAAACAAGCUCCAUAUCCCCAAAAUACCUCAGUUAAAUAAGAACCCCAAAUGAGAAUAAAAAACUAGAGAACUAAUUGUUGUUUGCAGCAGACAGUGAUCAUUUAUGAUCAUUUUACAUCAUCAAGCUUAACCAAUGCAGGGGUAACAAUGCCAUCAACACAAUCGCAAUCCCUACUACCUGAACAAGCAUUUGCACAAACGGCACAAAGAAUCAUUUGCUAUACAGGGCAUAGGAUUUAGGCUCUAAAUAACAAACAAGUACAAACAGUAGCAAAACAACAAAGAUAGCUUGUUGUAGCCAAACUCAAGACUCUCUUUAACUGGACCAAUUAUCACAUCGCCAUUUUUUUUACCUCAAUUGAUUUUUAACAGCCGGAUAAUAAUUCUUAAAAGUAAUAAAACUAACAUAAUGUUGAAGAUAACAUGUAAAUUUCUCAUAUAAUCUUAAAGUGACCCGAAUCUCAGAUGAAAAAAAAAAACCUUGAAACAAAAUUAUGAAAGCCCACCGAACUUGUAAAACUUUAAAAAUGUCAUUUUGUUGACAAAUAAUUUUUUCUAUAAUGUCUAUAUCAAAACAAUUCUCAGAAAAAUUAACACCACUUAAGCAAAUAUACUAUGAGUACAUUUAAAAUAAUUAAACCAAGAAAAAAAAGAAAUGGAGAAAACAUGUAUAGUUUAACCCUUGAUCAGGCAUGAAAUGAUUUUAAACAUUUAAAUAGUAAAAAUAAUCAAAAGAACCAUUACAAAAUAAGAAAUAGGAGGCUCAGAUUCAUCUUUUGUCAAUCAUAAGAACAGACCAUAGGUCUUCCCUCUUCUUGCCCAAAUCUCAUCCUAAGAGAUAGACAUGGCUGCAGUGGUUGCCAUGAAGGCCAUCCAUACUGCCUCGCCAUCAUCCUAUUAAGAUUGAAAAAUCGAGCAUUGAAAGAGAUUACAAAGCCUUAAUGCUUCAUAAUAUGCAUAAGAAUCUGUGACUUGCCAACACCAUGGAGAAACAAUCUUGUGUUUAAAAGCUCAAAUGGUGAUUAGUCAAAUCCAUCAUUGACUUUUAUUUAUCAUCAUAGCCUCUUCAUAAUUCAAAAGCAAGAUACUGAGAAGCAAAGAUGAAAUCAAUACAGUGAAAUUUACAAAAAGAAAACAUAAAUAAUCAAAGCCAUGAAAGGAUAAAAAGAAAAAGGUUGGAAGAAAUGAAGCAAUCCUCUUGAAUGUAUUAUUUCCCCACACCAAAACAAGCUCCAUAUCCCCAAAAUACCUCAGUUAAAUAAGAACCCCAAAUGAGAAUAAAAAACUAGAGAACUAAUUAUUGUUUGCAGCAGACAGUGAUCAUUUAUGAUCAUUUUACAUCAUCAAGCUUAACCAAUGUAGGGGUAACAAUGCCAUCAACACAAUCGCAAUCCCUACUACCUGAACAAGCAUUUGCACAAACGGCACAAAGAAUCAUUCGCUAUAUGGGGUAUAGGAUUUAAGCUCUAAAUAACAAACAAGUACAAACAGUAGCACAACAACAAAGAUAGCUUGUUGUAGCCAAACUCAAGACUCUCUUUAACUGGACCAAUUAUCACAUCGUCAUAUUUUUUUACCUCAAUUGAUUUUUAACAGCCGGAUAAUAAUUCUUAAAAGUACUAAAACUAACAUAAUGUUGAAGAUAACAUGUAAACUUCUCAUAUAAGCUUAAAGUGACCCGAAUCUCAGAAGAAAAAAAAAACCUUGAAACAAAAUUAUGAAAGCCCACCGAACUUGUAAAACUUUAAAAAUGUCAUUUUGUUGACAAAUAAUUUUUUCUAUAAUGUCUAUAUCAAAACAAUUCUCAGAAAAAUUAACACCACUUAAGCAAAAUAUACUAUGAGUACAUUUAAAAUAAUUAAACCAAGAAAAGAGAGAAAUGGAGAAAACAUGUAUAGUUUAACCCUUGAUCAGACAUGAAAUGAUUUUAAACAUUUAAAUAGUAAAAAUAAUCAAAAGAACCAUUAUAAAAUAAGAAAUAGGAGGCUCAGAUUCAUCUUUUGUCAAUCACAAGAACAGACCAUAGGUCUUCCCUCUUCUUGCCCAAAUCCCAUCCUAAGAGAUAGACAUGGCUGCAGUGGUUGCCAUGAAGGCCAUCCAUACUGCCUCGCCAUCAUCCUAUUAAGAUUGAAAAAUCGAGCAUUGAAAGAGAUUACAAAACCUUUAUGCUUCAUAAUAUGCAUAAGAAUCUGUGACUUGCCAACAUCAUGGAGAAACAAUCUUGUGUUUAAAAGCCCAAAUGGUGAUUGGUCAAAUCCAUCAUUGACUUUUAUUUAUCAUCAUAGCCUCUUCAUAAUUCAAAAGCAAGAUACUGAGAAGCAAAGAUGAAAACAAUAUAGUGAAAUUUAUCAAAAAAAAUAUAAAUAAUCAAUGCUAUAAAAGGAUAAAAAGAAAAAGAUUGGAAGAAAAGAAGCAAUCCUCUUGAAUGUAUUAUUUCUUUCCCCACACCAAAACAAGCUCCAUAUCCCCUAAAUACCACAUUUAAAUAAGAAACUUAAAUGAGAAUAAAAAACUAGAGAACUAUUUGUUGUUUGCGACAGAUAGUGAUCAUUUAUGACCAUUUUACAUCAUCAAGCUUAAUCAAUGCUUAACCAAUGCAGGGGCAACAAUGUCAUCAAUACAAUCGCAAUCCCUACUACCUGAACUAAGCGUUUGCACAAAUGGUACAAAGAAUCAUUUGCGAUAUGGGGCAUAUGAUUUAAGCUCUGAAGAACAAACAAGUACAAACAGUAGCAUGACAACAAACAUAAGAAACAAUGUAUCUGACAUGGCAAGAACAUCCCCAAUAACCAUAUGUGCUCUCCCCUAUAUGCUUCAUUGUUUCAAACAAUAAUGAUUUACCUGGACAUGAAAGUAUUUUGCAAGCAUAAAUCCAUGACAAUGUGAGCAAAAAGGAUCCGUUCAUUUAAAAAAGAAAACCUUCUAAGAUGCUCACCCGAAAUUGUACCCAUACAAAGUUCCCCCCAAUGUUAGUUUGUUGUCGUUAAGCUCAAGACUUUCUAUAACUGGACCAACUAUCACAUUGCCAUUUUUUUUUUCCUCAAAACAAUUUUUAACAACCUGAUAAUAUUUCUUAAAAUUACUAAAAUUAACAUAAUAUUGAAAAUAACAAACAAACAUCUCAUACUAGCUAGAGGUGAUCCAAUCUCAAAUGAAAAAACAAAAAAACAUGAAACAAAAUUAUGAAAGCACACCAAACUUAUAAAUUUUUAAAAAUGUCAUUUUGGUAGACAAAUAAUUAUUUCUAUAAUGUCUACAUCAAAACAAAUCUCAGAAAAAUUAACACCACUUAAGCAAAUAUACCGUGAGUACAUUUAAAAUAAUUGAACCUUGAAAAGAGAGAAAUGGAGAAAACAUGUAUAGUAACCCUUGAUCAGGCAUGAAAUGCUUUUAAACAUUUAAAUAAAAAAAAUAAUCGAAAGAACCAUUACAAAAUAAGAAAUAGGAGGCUCAUAUUCACCUUUUGUCAAUCACAAGAAAAGACCAUAGGUCUUCCCUCUUCUUGCCUAAAUCCCACCCUAAGAGAUAGAAAUGGCUACAGUGGUUGCCAUGAAUGCCAAAACAUUCAGAUAAAUAUUUGGUAUAAGAGGCUCAGAUUCAUCUUUUGUCAAUCACAAGAAUAGACCAUAAGUCUUCCCUCUUCUUGCCCAAAUCUUACCAUAAGAGAUAGACAUAGCUACUCACCGACCGACCUAUCACUGAAUAAAGUAGAGCUGUUUGUUUGCUUUAAUUAAGAUCCAAAGUAGAGCUGUUCCAUUGCUUUAAUUCAAUUCAAAAUCACUUGCUGUUUUACAACCUAGUUCACUUCAUAAAACACUCUCAAAUAUCAUAUAAAAUCACUUUCCAUACAGAAUGAAGGCAAGGCAAGAGCCUGAGUGUGUAUGUUGGGUUCCAGACUUCAAUCGAGGAGUGCCGGGCUAAGAGAGGGGAGUCAAAUCCUCAGAAUUGGUAGUUGGUUU